AGUCCCAAAUGCUCAUGACUGGAUGAAUGUUCCUGUUUUGAUAUUGCUUCUGUAAAUUUCAGGAAAAUUUCCAUUACAUCUUUGGCCAUUUCCAUAUCAUAGAUUUACCGUAUUCUUAUUUGAGUUAGUAGACCGGAAUAUUGAACUCACAAGUUACAGGUUCAUUUGUCCUUUGAUACUGCUUAUAAAAUAACAUGGAUUCUAGCUCAAAAAAAGUAACCAAAGCAGAAAUCAAGACCCCAUCACCUAACCAAGAUGAAGGCCCACCAAAGAAGAAACACAAAAAAGAACAUAAACACAAACAUAAAAAACGCAGUGCGGAAAAGGGUGAGAAAGAAAAACACAAGAAACACAAAAAGCAUAAGAAACAUAAGCAUCAUGAGGGUGGUACACCACCAGAAAAAGCUCCCAUUACUGUAAGUGAAAAACCGAGUAAAAGCCUCAAUGGUAAAGAGAAAAUUAUUGUUGAGAAAAAAGCAACAAAAGUCACUACUACAGAUAUAGAUGAUAUAACAGAUUUUAUAACCGAGGGGUUGACAACAAGUAAAGCACCUUCAUUAUCUUUAGAUAUAAUAUCCUCCGAGGAGAACAGCAUGGAUGUAACUGAACAAGACUGCGAUUCUGAUGCUAUUAAUAUGGAAGUGAUAGAAGCGGAUAUGGAUUUGGAAGAACUGAUGAAACAAAAAGAACUUCUUCAAGCUCAAUUGGCCAAUUCACUUGUCGAUGAUGUUGAUAAGAUGAAUGCUACAAAUGGCCGCAGCAAAGAUAAAGAUAUCUCUAUAGAUGAUGAAAUUAUUACUUUGUUAGAUUCAGAUGAAGAACCAACAAAGAAGAAAGAGAAGAAGAAUAGUGUUAGUUCUAAGGAGAGAAUUAAAGAUAAAGACAGGCGCAUUAAAGAACUGCUAGAAAAAGACAGACAACGCGAGCGAGAAAAGGAACGAGAACGUCAAAGGGAACGAGAAAGAGAGCGUGAUCGUAUCCGUGAAAGAUCACGCGAUUCCAGGUUCAAUUCCGUGGACCGGUCGCGUGACAGAGACCGUGACAGUUAUCACCGAGAUUUGCGCGAAUAUAACAAAUAUAGGGAUUCUUUUAAGCCAGAUAGAGACAGAGACGUGAGGGGCAAGGAUAAAGAUCGCCGCAGUUACGGGGAUCGAUCCUACGAGUUGGAGAAGGAGAAAGAUAAAAGGAGGCAUCACGACAGACAUAAAAAGAAUAAGGAGCCUCAGGACAAGUUUAAGGAUUCUUUGAGCGAGGGUCAGAAAAAAUUGAAAGAAGAUUCGUCCGAUUCUGAUGUGCAAAUUGAAUUGGAUAUUGACAUAGACGAGGAGGAUGAGGAAGCGAUUAUUGAAAAAAGGAGGAAACAAAGAGAGGAACUCAUGAAGCGUUUAGGCGCAGGAAACGAAGACUCUAAUACUAAAAUGUCAGUUGAAUCGAGUCCCCAAGGGGAGCCUCCAAAAUCCGAUCGAGUGAUGGAAGCAGUGGAGAGUAAAGAAUAUAGUAAAGAACAUUCUGAUCACAGUAAAGAAGGAAGUUCAAAAUCCUCACUGAACACGUCAAAUGACAUAGAAGAAGAAGGAUCGCACACCCCGCCCCUUCUGCCCAAUAUGAAAACGAAAGAAAUGGAGAAAAAAACAACAAACGAAAAGGAUUUGAAGAGCCUUAAGAGGGCCGAUUGGGAUAUGUUUGCCGAACAAGACGUUUUUAAACAUAACACUAAUUCUCCCAGUGCUAUAGUCAAUGCUAAAGGCCCUGGAGCUGAAAAUCCCGCCUUAACAGACAAUUGGGAUGACGCAGAAGGAUAUUAUAGGGUCAGAAUAGGUGAAAUCUUAGACAACAGAUACAUGGUUUACGGUUAUACAGGACAAGGGGUAUUCAGUAAUGUAGUGAGGGCGAGAGAUCAGGCCAGGGGGAGCCAAGAUGUCGCUGUUAAAAUCAUUAGGAACAAUGAAAUUAUGCAUAAAACUGGCCUUAAGGAACUAGAAAUUCUUAAAAAACUAAACGACGCAGACCCGGACGAUAAAAUGCACUGCCUAAGGCUGAUAAGGCAGUUUUUCCACAAACAACAUUUGUGUAUGGUGUUUGAACCGUUGGCCAUGAACCUGAGGGAGGUGCUGAAAAAAUACGGCAAAAACGUCGGGUUGCAUAUUAAAGCAGUCAGGAGUUAUACUCAGCAGCUUUUGUUAGCUCUUAAACUGUUGAAAAAAACGGGAAUACUGCAUGCGGAUAUCAAACCGGACAACAUCCUGGUAAACGAAAGUAAACUGGUGUUAAAACUGUGCGAUUUCGGUUCGGCAUCGAAAAUUAACGAGAACGAAAUCACGCCGUAUCUCGUCUCGAGAUUUUACAGAGCGCCCGAAAUUAUUUUGGGGAUGCCGUACGAUUACGCCAUAGAUAUGUGGAGUGCCGCAUGCACCAUUUACGAACUGUACACCGGGAAAAUACUGUUUUCCGGCAAAUCGAACAAUCAGAUGUUGAAAUUCUUUAUGGACGUGAAGGGCAAGUUUCCGAAUAAGGUUAUUAGGCGCGGUGCGUUCAAGGAGCAACACUUCGAUAGUAAUUGUAACUUUUUGUACCAUGAAAUCGAUAAAGUUACUGAAAGGGAAAAAGUGGUUGUAAUGACGGUAGUAAAAGUAAACCGAGACCUACAAUCAGAACUAGUAGCCAACCAAGGUCUGCCCCCGGAUCAACUAAAAAAGGUCACGCAACUAAAAGAUCUUUUAGAAAAAGCGUUGGCCAUCGAUCCGGCGAAACGGAUCAGCCUGAACAACGCCCUGACCCACCCGUUCAUCCAAGAGAAAAUCUGAUUUUCCUUUGUGGACCUAAAGGAACGAAAAACCCGUGGUAUAUGGUUACGUGGAGAAUGGAGCCGUAGGAGGGGCACAUGGAAGUGAACGAAUGUGGCCUUACUUUAAAGAUGAAUUCAAGUUUCGGUUUUGGUGCUACUGCAUGGGUCACUUUACUACGAUGGGCUAAGUAUGAAUUAAUAUUGAGGCUAGUUUUAUUAAUGGCUAUUUUUUAGGGUGUUUAUACGAGUAAUUAAGCGUUAUAAGAACAGUACGGUAAGUAUUUUAUCAUUUAUUUGGACAAAGCAGUAGCAGAAGCUGCAUCCUUUCACAUUUGUAUUGUACAGAUUUUGCUAUUCACAAUAAUAUAAUUAUGACAGAGAUAUAAGAACUUCUAGGAGUAAUUUGACAAAUUAUUCAGAUAAUAAAAAUAAGAAAGUAUUGCAACGUAGCACCCACACUGAAAAAAAGAAACUCUUAAAAUGGUCCUAUUCAGUCUAUUUUAAGGAUAUGUUAGAUUUAUAUGUAUAUCUCCCCCAAGACGAUAUUUGCUUUGUUUAAGUAUACAAGACUCAAGUUUUAAUUCUUAACUCUAGAGUAUAUAUUAUCAAAAUAAAAAUAUACUUAUUGAUUUAAAAAUACAUAACUUAACAUUAAUAUUAAGGUUCUAUUUUAUUAUUAUUUUUUUUUGUAAUAAUGUGAACGAAGAUUUAAAUUAAGUACAUAUUUUUUUUUUUUAAAUUCCAUAUUUUUAAUUCGAAAAUUUAUUUAUUAUUUAUAAUAAAUUCGAAAAGAAA
rnacentral:misc_RNA from 1 species